rnacentral:rRNA from 1 species
GUGACUCGUAAUAUUUACUCACAUUAACAAACGCCUGGGAAUUACGAGUAAGCUUAAAACCCAAAGGACUUGACGGUGUCCCAUUCCCCCUAGAGGAGCCUGUUCUAUAAUCGAUGAUCCCCGCUUUACCCUUCCACUUCUUGCUUUUCAGCCUGUAUACCUCCGUCGUAAGCUUGCCCUGUGAACGCCUAUUUAGCAAGCCCAAGGAUCUUAUCACCAACACGUCAGGUCAAGGUGCACCCUAUGAAGUGGAAAGCAAUGGGCUACAAUUUCUAAAUUAAAACAAACAAAAAACUGCAUGAAAUACAGUUAAAAGGUGGAUUUAGUAUUAAAAAAAAAAUAGCGAGUCUUUUUUAAUCCGGCCCUGGGACGUGUACACACCGCCCGUCCACAAAAAAAAAGGGCAAUUUUAACCCAAUAAGAAGUUUAUUCACAAAAAGUUUUUGGGAGUUUAACGCGACCUCCCGUUGGUGGUGGGGGGA